GCGCUAGCUUCAGCAGCACACUGAGCACAUGUCCUAACCCAGAAAGAGACCGAGAGGAUUCGUUAGCAUGGCCCCUGUGCAAAGAUGAUGUGCAACUUUGCGAAGCAUCUCUCUUUUAA
rnacentral:snRNA from 1 species